UACGAAGGGGGCUAGCGUUGCUCGGAAUUACUGGGCGUAAAGGGCGCGUAGGCGGGUCGUUUAGUUAGAGGUGAAAGCCCCAGGGCUCAACCCUGGAAUUGCCUUUAAUACUGGCGGCCUUGAGUAUGGCAGAGGUGUGUGGAACUGCGAGUGUAGAGGGUGAAAAUUCGUAGAUAUUCGCAAGAACACCAGUGGCGAAGGCGGCCAACUGGUCCGAUACUGACGCUGAGGCGCGAAAGCGUGGGGAGCAAACAG
rnacentral:rRNA from 1 species